UACAGAGGUCUCAAGCGUUGUUCGGAUUCAUUGGGCGUAAAGGGUGCGUAGGCGGCGCGGUAAGUCGGGUGUGAAAUCUUGGAGCUUAACUCCGAAACUGCAUUCGAUACUGCCGUGCUUGAGUCCGGGAGGGGAGAGCGGAACUCCUAGUGUAGCGGUGAAAUGCGCAGAUAUUAGGAAGAACACCGGUGGCGAAGGCGGCUCUCUGGACCAGCACUGACACUGAAGCACGAAAGCGUGGGGAGCAAACAGG
rnacentral:rRNA from 1 species